rnacentral:lncRNA from 1 species
GUGACCACGUGAGCGCCAUGCCUACCGAGGCUCCGCCAUGUUGCCUAAGGGGGCGUUCCCUCGCCGCUACUCUCCCCCCGCGCUCCGGGCGUGCAGCUGGAGGGGCCGAGGCAGUUUUUGGGCCAUCCUGGACGAGCCCCCACUGAAGAAGAUAAGGACUUUAGCCCUUUCAGGUAACUUAGUUUAGAAGUAUCCAUGUGCAUUACGUCAAAAUGUAAGCAUAGAUAACAGAAGCACUAACAAGCAUUCUUUAGGAUAAGAUGUAUCAAACAUGCAGAAGAUCACACUGUGCAGAAUCAUCCGAGAAGGGUCAAGUAGCGGACAAGUGAGGAAGACUCCUGAAGACCACCAGAGGACUCCUGAAGACCACCAGAGA